UGUAAACCUAUUUCGGGUUGAAACAAUCUCUAUGCAAAGGUUGUGACUGUUUGAAAAUUGAUUUAUUAUAAAACUCAUAAAAAUACAGAUCAAAAGUCAUCAUUAAUUUUGUAUUCGAAUGUUCCAAAGUCAAUCAAAGUCAUAUACAUGUAAAUGUUUACGUGCACUUGCAGAAGGUCGAUUUCUAUUCGACGCAGGUGACAUAUUAUUGCUGUAUUGUAUUCCUUUGCAUUAACCUUAUUGCUUUGUAAGUAUACGAAUUAUGCCUGCGUAACAAAAUACUUAUUCCUGAUAUUGUGUUUGUUUUAUAACAUUUAUUUUUAUAAAAUAAAUACCAUUUAUGCAAAAUAGUUUUAUGACAAAUACAGUUUUAAUGUUUCAUUAAUGAAUAUGUUGACACUUAUUAAACUCAUCAUAGAUACCAGGAUUGACAUUUUGUACGGCAGACGCGCGUUUCGUCUAUAAAAGACUCAACAGUGGCGCUCGAAUGAAAAAAGAGUUUAGAAAAAUGUGUAGUAAUAUUUAACCAGUUAUCUUAUAUUUGAACGGCUGUAUGUUUACUGACUGUCAAUGGUGAGUAGGAUUUUUUUCUAUCUUAAACAAUUUGUUAAAUCUGCACAAAUGCCUAUGACAAGUAAGAAAACCUUAUCUAUGCAGAUACACUCAAAACGGACAAUACGUCAAGGGACAAAGCGUUCCAUACUGUGCAUGCAUUAGCUGUCAUAUGCAGGCGAAUCUACAUUCAAUCAAAAUACGACGCUAUGUCUCGAUAUCAUACGACUUUUGAUGUAACUAAGACUAGUAACUUAGAUUUAGUGAGUUGAAAAAGAUGAAAGAUAAUAUAGUGUUUUACAUCAACUUUCCCCUAUUGAACAAUGGGGGGAAAAAGAUUUAAGGAAACUAUAUUUGAUCUGAACAGCACUUUACAGAACGAGGAAAAACACAAUACGUCAUUUAAAGUCUUACAUUAAAAUUUCAGACUUUUCCUCCGCUACAAACUUAGUACUAUUCACACAAUUUGCUGGCAGCUAGGCAAUACUGAUCUGUUUCGUCAAUGAUCAGACUGUUUUUAUCUGUAAAAACACAACAACAUAUUCAAUUAUAUCAUCGAGAUUGAACAAAUGCAAAAGUUAUGAACAGUAAUGAAUGAACAGACAAACACAAACUUCCAGAACAAAACUUGACGUUUGCCAGUUUUGUUGAGAUCGAAACGGUCAUUCAAGAUUUAAAUUCACUUAAAAAUGAAUAUCCUUUAAGUGUAGUUCUUUAAACAUAUACCAUAGAACAUGACAAUACACUGUUAAAAAAGAGCAGCGUUCCAAUGAAAGUGUCUCCAUUAUUCGACAUGGUAAAUCACGGUGCAGUUAUUUACAUAAUUGCUGUUGUUUUGUUUUAUAUGAUUUAAUUUGAUUGUAAUUAUAGGAUAGACACCAUUGGCCAGUAAAUCAGUAAUGUCUUACUUAAAGUAAACUAUAGUAAUGAUUAUGAUACAAACGUAGACAUGCAGUAUUAAAAAGGAAUGCGUAGUACAUCUUUGAUCAACUGAAAAUGGAUAUCAAAAAUAGAAAUAAAGGAAAGACACCAUUGGACAGUAAAUCAGUAAUGUCUUACUUAAAGUAAGCUAAAUGAUUAUGAUACAAAACUAGGCAUGCAAUAUUAACAAGGGAUGCGUGGUUCAUCUUUGAUCAACUGAAAAUGGAUAUAAAAAAAUCGAAAUGAAGGUUCUUUUUGGUCAUACAGCUUCUCUAGAAUUUGUAUAUUCUAGGCUUUCACCCGUCUGGUUUAAUGGUAUUUAAAAAAAAGGAUGACUAAGGAUGGUUUAAAAAAUCCUUUUCAGUCAUAUAGCUCCAGGACUAUAAGAACCAAUAGCUACCAUCGUUUAGUGUAGAGCAUUCCUCAUCAAGAACAAAUUCCGCAAUAAAGGAUGGAACUGCUGUUUAUUUCCGGUUAGUUUUGGAGAAGAUGUCAAAGAAAAUACGUCAAGAUAAAAAAUCUUCGUAAAAGAAGCAGCUAAUUAUAUAAUAUCAAGUCAAAAGUGGAGAUCACCUGAGAACUCAAGACUUAAAUACGAUAAAUGUUACAAAUAAAAUAGCAUGUUUUUUUUAGAUCUAAUUUACUAAACAACAUGUUCAUAUAUUUUCUUGCAAAUAAACUUGCGAACAAUACCAAUAUCAAAACAAUGUAUUUUGUCUGAUCCUUUGUCAUACAAUAUCUUGACAUACUGCUACAACAGUGAGAUGAUUUAAGUUAUUUUUUGCUAGCAGGCUGGUUCCAUGUUUUAAGUUUAGAAUUCCAUCGGUAGUCUCAUACCACAUAAGAAAGUUUUCGAUAUUUAAAGAACUGACAGGUUAUUGCAGAUUGUUGUAUUGUGUCUGUGAUAGAAACAAACGGUUUAUUUUUAUGUAACUAUGUGAUUCGGUGUCAGGACAAACAUCGGAAACGUAAAGAUACUGAGUCUGAAUUAUAUGCUUAGAAAAUAUCAACAUUAGUUUUAAUUUCAUUCAUGAAGCAACACAUUUAUUUACCAUUGCAUAUUGUUUUUGAUACUUUUUAUAAUAAGCAUAUUGCAAAUUUUA